UCAAUAAGCGGAGGAAAAGAAACCAACAGGGAUUGCCCCAGUAACGGCGAGUGAAGCGGCAACAGCUCAAAUUUGAAAUCUGGCUUUCGGGCCCGAGUUGUAAUUUGUAGAGGAUGCUUUUGGCGCGGUGCCUUCCGAGUUCCCUGGAACGGGACGCCACAGAGGGUGAGAGCCCCCUACGGUCGGACACCAAGCCUCUGUAAAGCUCCUUCGACGAGUCGAGUAGUUUGGGAAUGCUGCUCUAAAUGGGAGGUAUAUCUCUUCUAAAGCUAAAUAUAGGCCAGAGACCGAUAGCGCACAAGUAGAGUGAUCGAAAGAUGAAAAGCACUUUGAAAAGAGGGUUAAAAAGUACGUGAAAUUGUUGAAAGGGAAGGGCUUGUGACCAGACUUGUGCCGGGUUGAUCAUCCGCGGUUCUCCCGCGGUGCACUCUCCCCGGUCCAGGCCAGCGUCGGUUCUGGGAGGGGGACAAAAGCUUGGGGAACGUGGCUCCUCCGGGAGUGUUAUAGCCCCUCGCCCAAUGCCCCUGCCGGGACCGAGGUUCGCGCUCUGCAAGGACGCUG
rnacentral:rRNA from 1 species